rnacentral:tRNA from 1 species
AGAGAUUUAGGUUAAGUCAAACCAAGAGCCUUCAAAGCUCUUAACACUUGCAGGACUUUAUCCUACAUCUUCUG